GGUAUCCUGGCCGAGCGGUCUAAGGCGCCAGGUUAAGGCUUUUCCUGGUCUCUUCGGAGGCGUGAGUUCGAAUCUCACGGAUAUCA
rnacentral:tRNA from 3 species